AGAUUGAACGCUGGCGGCAGGCCUAACACAUGCAAGUCGAGCGGCAGCACGGGUACUUGUACCUGGUGGCGAGCGGCGGACGGGUGAGUAAUGCCUAGGAAUCUGCCUGGUAGUGGGGGAUAACGCUCGGAAACGGACGCUAAUACCGCAUACGUCCUACGGGAGAAAGCAGGGGACCUUCGGGCCUUGCGCUAUCAGAUGAGCCUAGGUCGGAUUAGCUAGUUGGUGAGGUAAUGGCUCACCAAGGCGACGAUCCGUAACUGGUCUGAGAGGAUGAUCAGUCACACUGGAACUGAGACACGGUCCAGACUCCUACGGGAGCAGCAGUGGGGAAUAUUGGACAAUGGGCGCAAGCCUGAUCCAGCAAUGCCGCGUGAGUGAUGAAGGCCUUAGGGUUGUAAAGUCU
rnacentral:rRNA from 1 species